CCUACGGGGGGCUGCAGUAGGGAAUCUUCCGCAAUGGACGAACGUCUGACGUAGCAACGCCGCGUGAGCGAAGAAGGUCUUCGGAUCGUAAAGCUCUGUUGUUAGGGAAGAACAAGUACGGGAGGAAAUGACCGUACCUUGACGGUACCUGACGAGGAAGCCACGGCUAACUACGUGGCAGCAGCCGGGGUAAUACGUAGGUGGCAAGCGUUGUCCGGACUUAUUGGGCGUAAAGCGCGAGCAGGCGGUCGUUUAAGUCUGAUGUGAACUCUUGCGGCUCGACCGCAAGCGGUGAUUGGAAGCUGGGUGAUUUGCGUGCAGAGGAGGAAAGCGGAAGUCCACGUGUAGCGGUGAAAUGCGUAGAGGGGUGGGGGUACACCGGUGGCGAAGGAGGCUUUCUGGUCUGAAACUGACGCUGAGGCGCGAAAGCGUGGGGAGCAAGCAGGAUUAGAUACGUCGGUAGUC
rnacentral:rRNA from 1 species